UACGAAGGGGGCUAGCGUUGCUCGGAAUCACUGGGCGUAAAGCGCGUGUAGGCGGGUCUUUAAGUCAGGGUGAAUGCCAAGGCUCAACCUUGGAACUGCCUUUGAUACUGGAAUCUUGAGUCCGGGAGAGGUGAGUGGAACUGCGAGUGUAGAGGUGAAAUUCGUAGAUAUUCGCAAGAACACCAGUGGCGAAGGCGGACUCACUGGCCCGGAACUGGACGCUGACGACGCGAAAGCGUGGGGAGCAAACAGGGAAUUGAAGAAUACCCCAGUAGUACC
rnacentral:rRNA from 1 species